AGACGGCGCCCAACCUUCCUCUGCAGCGCCCCUACCGACCCGCGCUCCGCAGCUCCUGAGGGCUUUCGAGCCCAGAUGGUCAUCUGAGACGAGAGGUGGCGGCGAAGGAGAGUCUCGCCUGUCACGCUCCCGGAGCAGGGGCUUCAUGAGGUGGCCAUGGAAACAGCCUGGCAGACUCCCAUCUCUCCUGGUGCCAUCUCCGGAGCGGAAAGUGGAGCGCCCCGCUGGCGACCAAGGCCGCACUGAGAGCCCUGGUUUGGUCAACAGUUGGGCUCCAAGGAGCCCUGGUAUUCCUUGAACAUGCAUACCUUUCCCAGCGUGAGGGACAUGGACCGUGCCGUGCGAGGGACCCCAUCUUCUGCAGCAGGAGGGAGCAGAGAAGAGAACACAGCACUUUCCUCCCCACUGAUGAUAUAUGUAUAUCCAUUGCUUGUAUCCUCCUUUGAACCGGCUUUGUUAUCCAGAUGCUUCUUGUAUUAAUGAGGCCUUAAUUGAGGCUGUUCUUGCAAAGGAUGUGAUGAGAUAAGUAGAAAUGAACUCAGAGAAGAUGAAUUCAAAAUCCUCGAUGGGAGCAUCCAAGUACUUCCUGGUUUCUGGUUUACAAGGCACUUCAGAGGAUGCUGCACUGUCUGGGUGAGUCAGCUUCCUACUGUGGCUGCUGGUCACAGUCCAGGAACUCAUCUAGGCCUAGGUAAGAUUGCAUCUGGAGCCUGGGGCCAGGUCUGGGGCCCUACAGUAAGGCGGAGAUGGGCUGGUAUGUGUCCUGAGCGGAGGUUAGGAAGGCUCUGAACACUGUCAUGGGAGCAAAGACUGAAGAAACUAGAGAAAAAGAGACUCUGAGAAGACUCAGAACUGCCUUUCUGCAUCUGUAGGAUUUCACCCCACUAUAGGUUGUAUGGAGGGCAGAACCGAGGGAGAGUCUUGGGGGAGGCAGAUUCCAGCCUGACCAGGACAGAGCUGGCCAACCAGUGCACAGGCUUCCUUGGGAGGCGGUGAGCUUUUCAUUAUAGAAAUAUUCCUACAGAUUCCUACCCUGGGCCCGGUGGCUCACGCCUGUAAUCCCAGCACUUUGGGAGGCCGAGGUGGGCAGAUCACUUGAGGCCAGGAGUUUGAGACCAGCCUGGCCAACACGGCGAAACCCCAUAUCUACUAAAAAUACAAAAAUUAGCCAGGCGUGGUGGUGCAGGCCUGUAGUCCCGGCUAUUCGGGAGGCUGAGGCACAAGAAUCAUUUGAACCUGGGAGACAGAGGUUGCAGUGAGCUGAGAUCACACCAAUGCACUCCAGCCUGGGUGACAAAGCAAGACUCUGUCUCAAAAAUACAAAGAUAUAUUCCUACAGAUUCCUAAGACCUACCUCAAGAGAUUCCAAUUCAGUAGGUCUUGGAUGGCUGAGGAAUCUGGUGUUCAAAAAAUUCCCAGGGUGACUGAGUGGGGCUCACGUUAUAGAGAGCUUUGCCUGCCUGGGCGGAGCUUAGAUGUGACCUGGGAUUCUUCUAGCACUGGCAGUCUGUCAUUCUGUGGUCCCCUCAGGUCCCAGGCUUGUGUUCUGACAGCUUCUAUUCCUGCUAGAACCCCUUGGCUACAAACUCUUCCCUUUGAGUCUCUCCCUGUUCAAGGGCCAAUGCAGAAAACCCCACUCAGGACAUAGCCUUACAAAGUGCAUUGUUGGGGGGCUUUUUGUGGUAUUUGAUUGCAGCUUCUGAUUAAGGACCUGAAGAGUACGUCUGUCUGUGCAUGCCUGUGUAUCUGCGUGUGUGUCUGUGUGUGUGUAUGCGUGUGUACGUGCAGAAAGAGAAACAGGAUCUAGUCCUACAGAUUUUGUGUUUGUGUGUGAGAAGGCCUCGGCUAGUGCUCAUGCCAGUGAUGGGAAAUAGGGGCUGGGACCUGAGGAAUCACAACUAGGGCUGGACCCCGGGGAGCUGUAAACUUAGAAGGAUGCUCUGUUCUUUGCCUGCUUCACAGACUGGGAAUUCAGGCAGGAUUGGGACUUCCAGCCGAGUCAUCCUGGCCAACCCCGCUUCCUUGGCUGCCUGGCCUCGGAUGCUCCCAGGGACUCAGGUUCCAGCCCCCUGAAGGCUCCAGGCCAGCUCCUGAGGCCUGACCCUCCCGAGGCCGUGACUACCUGAGAAACCCAAUGUGGGUGGUCUGGUGGGUGCAAUAGUGGGAGAAGCACUUUACUCACCAUGCCUGGUUGCCUUCUGAAAAGCUUUGAAAUGUCCAGGGCGUGGCAGUAAGGGAAGAGGGUAAAAGAAAGUUGAGUUUGAUGUGGCCUUUGGUUGGGGGGGUCUGAACUGCCCCAGCUUCAUGGUCCCUCAGGCUAUAGAAGGCACUUGAGGGCUGGGCUGAACAGGCAGAGUCUAGGAGGCAGCAACUAACCCUUGUACUGGGUAACACAUAAGAAACCAGCAGCACAGCAAAGUUAACAGACUUGGUCUCAAAGUUUCUUGGCCAAGACAAGGUCUCUUGACCAGAAUGUAGAGGAGCUGGGAUUGAAGCCCAGCUUGGUAUGACUGCACAGUUUACAUUCUUAAAUCCUGUGCUAGGUAUCCUCCCUGAUAGGACCUGGGCUUCUCGGCUCCCGGCUCCCCUGAAUUCCUGCUGGCCUUCCUAACCAUCACAGCUUCAAAAUGCAUAUAGGUACAGUGCCAUUAGGUUGGCAUGAUGAAUUUCUAGAGGUUGCCACAAUGGGGGGAGGGUUCCAUGAGCUUGCCUGCCACAAAGUUGAGAGUAAGCGAUCCCUGAUUGGCUAGUGGGAGCUCCAAAUUCCAGUUCCCCACAAGUUCAGUCUCCCUGUGACCCUGAGCCAGAACCAGACUCUU
rnacentral:lncRNA from 10 species